AUUGAACGCUGGCGGAAUGCUUUACACAUGCAAGUCGAACGGCAGCACGGACUUCGGUCUGGUGGCGAGUGGCGAACGGGUGAGUAACAUAUCGGAACGUAUCCAAUAAUGGGGGAUAACUAAUCGAAAGGUUGGCUAAUACCGCAUACGCCCUACGGGGGAAAGCAGGGGAUCUUCGGACCUUGCGUUAAUGGAGCGGCUGAUAUCUGAUUAGCUAGUUGGUGAGGUAAAGGCUCACCAAGGCGACGAUCAGUAGCUGGUCUGAGAGGACGACCAGCCACACUGGAACUGAGACACGGUCCAGACUCCUACGGGAGGCAGGAGUGGGGAAUUUUGGACAAUGGGCGCAAGCCUGAUCCAGCCAUUCCGCGUGAGUGAAGAAGGCCUUCGGGUUGUAAAGCUCUUUCGCAAGGGAAGAAAACUUACUUUCUAAUAAAGAGUGAGGUUGACGGUACCUCGAUAAGAAGCACCGGCUAACUACGGGCCAGCCGCCGCGGUAA
rnacentral:rRNA from 1 species